rnacentral:rRNA from 1 species
UACAGAGGGGGCAAGCGUUGUUCGGAAUUACUGGGCGUAAAGGGCGCGUAGGCGGCCUUCUAAGUCGAACGUGAAAUCCCCGGGCUCAACCCGGGAACUGCGUCCGAUACUGGAAGGCUUGAAUCCGGGAGAGGGAUGUGGAAUUCCAGGUGUAGCGGUGAAAUGCGUAGAUAUCUGGAGGAACACCGGUGGCGAAGGCGGGUCUCUGGGCCGAUACUGACGCUGAGAGACGAAAGCUAGGGGAGCAAAUGGG